rnacentral:rRNA from 1 species
GAUGAACGCUGGCGGCGUGCCUAAUACAUGCAAGUCGAGCGAACAGACGAGGAGCUUGCUCCUCUGACGUUAGCGGCGGACGGGCGAGUAACACGUGGAUAACCUACCUAUAAGACUGGGAUAACUUCGGGAAACCGGAGCUAAUACCGGAUAAUAUAUUGAACCGCAUGGUUCAAUAGUGAAAGACGGUUUUGCUGUCACUUAUAGAUGGAUCCGCGCCGCAUUAGCUAGUUGGUAAGGUAACGGCUUACCAAGGCGACGAUGCGUAGCCGACCUGAGAGGGUGAUCGGCCACACUGGAACGGAGACACGGUCCAGACUCCUACGGGAGGCAGCAGUAGGGAAUCUUCCGCAAUGGGCGAAAGCCUGACGGAGCAACGCCGCGUGAGUGAUGAAGGUCUUCGGAUCGUAAAACUCUGUUAUUGGGGAAGAACAAAUGUGUAAGUAACUAUGCACGUCUUGACGGUACCUAAUCAGAAAGCCACGGCUAACUACGUG